rnacentral:tRNA from 1 species
UUGGAGUGUAGAUCAAUUGGCAGAUCGUCGGCCUCUGACUCCGAAGGUUCCUGGUUCGAUCCCAGGCACUCCAGCCAA